AUGGCUAGAGAAGGAGAUGUGCCUGACAAUGAAACAGAGGGUUAUGCAAAUCCCAUCUCACGACGGAACUCAAAAAGGGCUGCUAAGCGGCAGCCGCAUGGCGAUGAUAAGGACGGGGAUGAAGAGGGUGACGAUGGUGUCGAAAGAUUCCUCUUAGUAAAACUGCAGAGAAGAAAGGUGCGCACGGAGGCAGUAUCCAAAGGGAUAGAUGCCACAUCUUCUGCAGCAGUCGCUGAGCUACUUUUGCAAGGAGAAAUUUGGUUAGGGGGGAAAGGGGAAGUCAAGGAGGAAGGAUCUGAACAGGAGGAGAAAGGAUCACCUCCUUUUCACCCUUGUUGGUGCUGCCUGGUAUUUUCUGAUAUCUCUGGCGAUGGAGAUCCAGACCUGGGAACCCCUUGUUCAUCAGGGAAGAAGGUGGGGGCUUGGGGAAAAGAAGUUGGUGGCCAGGAGGGUGUGAGAGCUUCUGAAGGGGAUGGGAGGGCAUGUGAUGGCCCGAGGACUGCGUCCAGUGUGUGGUUUGUUGAGUUGGCAUGCAUCUGCUGCUACCGGUGGAGGGCUUUCCUUUUCUGGGAUCGAUGGGGACCGAAUCUUUUCUUUUCUGGGGGCCGCUCGGGACCGCUAGGGAGCGGCCGGCCGCUCCCUAGAUGCGUCCUAGAGGAAUACGGGAAAGUGUUUUUUCAGCCAAGAUUGAAGGGUUACGGGGAAACUAAACUGGUUUCCUUGCCUGUUGGCUUUGCUGGGCGAUGCUAG
rnacentral:rRNA from 1 species